GACGAACGCUGGCGGCGUGCUUAACACAUGCAAGUCGAACGGAAAGGCCCCCUUGUGGGGUACUCGAGUGGCGAACGGGUGAGUAACACGUGAGUAACCUACCCUUGACUUUGGGAUAACUUCAGGAAACUGGGGCUAAUACCGGAUAGGAGCUCCUGCUGCAUGGUGGGGGUUGGAAAGUUUCGGCGGUUGGGGAUGGACUCGCGGCUUAUCAGCUUGUUGGUGGGGUAGUGGCUCACCAAGGCUUUGACGGGUAGCCGGCCUGAGAGGGUGACCGGCCACAUUGGGACUGAGAUACGGCCCAGACUCCUACGGGAGGCAGCAGUGGGGAAUAUUGCAUAAUGGGCGGAAGCCUGAUGCAGCAACGCCGCGUGCGGGAUGACGGCCUUCGGGUUGUAAACCGCUUUCGCCUGUGACGAAGCGUGAGUGACGGUAAUGGGUAAAGAAGCACCGGCUAACUACGUG
rnacentral:rRNA from 1 species